rnacentral:rRNA from 1 species
UAAACUAGGACUGAUACCCUAUUAUUCUUUACUUUAAAUUAUUCGCUUAAGUAGUAAUCAGUUAUAACCUUGAAACUUAAAGGAUUUGGCGGUACUCAAGUCUAGUUAGAGGAACCUGCUCCUUAAACGAUAUGCCACGAAUGAUCUUACUUUUAUUUGUAUUCAGUAUGUAUACCUCCAUUAUUAAAUAAUAUUAAUAAGUAAAUAUUGCAAUAAAUUUGUCUUUAGUAUAUUAGGUCAAGGUGCAGCCUAUAUAAAAGUUGUGGGUGGGUUACAAUAUGUAUGUACAUUUCGGAUGAAAAUUAUAAUAUUUUUCUGAAGUUGGAUUUAAUUGUAUUUUUAUUUUAAUAUGUUAAUUUGAUAUUAGCUCUAGAGUAUGUACACACGCCGCUCUU